GAUACAGAAAUUGAAGCACAGAGAGACCACCUCAUUUGCCCAAAUCUCAGAGCUGGAGUCAGAAGGCCUGUGUCAUGAGUGCUGCUGAGUGGAGAACAGUGGGGAAGUGGAUGACACAGCCAGAACUCUGUUUCAGAAAGAUUAUUCCAGUGGCAGAGAAGAGGAUCGAGAUUGGCUGAAUAAUAAAAACGCUGCAGGGUAAAAAUUCUCCAUCUGGAGAGGCCCAUUGUUCAACACAACCAACUUCUGCAACCAGCUGUGUGAGGGAGCUUGGAAAUGAAUUCCUUUCUUCUCCAGUUGAACUUGCAGAUGCGACCACCAACUGACCCUCUGGGCUGUACUUCAAGAGAGACAUUGAGCCAGAGACAGAAGGUUCAUCUGCUGAGUUUCUCAAAUUCCACCUUGCUUCCUGGAUGUUAGAAGCUUUUAUUUCCCCUUAAAGUCAAAUGUGAUUUUUACUUGAAUGUCUUAUGUUCUUGACUGCUUUCAACUGAU